rnacentral:rRNA from 1 species
GACAGAGGGUGCAAACGUUGUUCGGAUUUACUGGGCGUAAAGCGCGUGUAGACGGCUUUACAAGUCGGAUGUGAAAGCCCACGGCUCAACCGUGGAAGUGCAUCCGAAACUGUAUCACUGGAGUCCCGGAGAGGAAGGUGGAAUGCUUAGUGUAGAGGUGAAAUUCGUAGAUAUCAAGCAGAACACCUGCGGCGAAGACGGCCUUCUGGACGGUGACUAACGCUAAGACGCGAAAGCGUGGGGAGCAAACAGG